rnacentral:rRNA from 1 species
AACGUAGGAGACAAACGUUAUCCGGAGUUACUGGGCGUAAAGGGCGUGUAGGCGGUUUGUUGCGUCGGCUGUGAAAACCUGAGGCUCAACCUCAGGCCUGCAGUCGAUACGAGCAGACUAGAGUGUUGCAGGGGAGACUGGAAUUCCUGGUGUAGCGGUGAAAUGCGCAGAUAUCAGGAGGAACACCGGUGGCGAAGGCGGGUCUCUGGGCAGUAACUGACGCUGAGGAGCGAAAGCGUGGGGAGCGAACAGG